AUUGAACGCUGGCGGCAGGCCUUACACAUGCAAGUCGAACGGUAACAGGAACCACCUUGCUGUUUCGCUGACGAGUCGCGUACGUGAUAGUUCUGUCCGGGCCCCUGCCUGAUGGAUGGGUCUACCUACUGCAAACUGUUGCUACUUCCGCCUAGCGUCUCAAAGCCAAAGAUCUGCAGCCCUCGCGCUCUUGCCACCGCAUGUGCCCAGUUGGGAUUAGCUUGUUGGUGGGGUAACGGCUCACCAAGGCGACGAUCCCUAGCUGGUCUGAGAGGAUGACCAGCCACACUGGAACUGAGACACGGUGCAGACUCCUACGGGAGGCAGCAGUGGGGAAUAUUGCACAAUGGGCGCAAGCCUGAUGCAGCCAUGCCGCGUGUAUGAAGAAGGCCUUCGGGUUGUAAAGUACUUUCGGCGGGGAGGAAAAGAAUAGAGCUAAUACCUUGGCUCAUUGACGUUACCCGCAGAAGAAGCACCGGCUAACUACGUG
rnacentral:rRNA from 1 species